AAGACUAUACUUUCAGGGAUCAUUUCUAUAGUAUGUGACUGGAGAAGUUUCUCUGAUCGUGUAGAGCACCCAAAGUCAUGAGGAGGAGCCAGAGCAUCCUCUCCUGAGUGUGAAGCUGGCUCUAUGUGUUACUUCUGCAAUUGCCUUUUGUCAAUUAUGAUCCUUUUACUCUUUCUUUGGAAGGGUUAGAGGGAGAAGAUGCAGUCUGAAUGGU